rnacentral:rRNA from 1 species
GGGUGCGAUCAUACCAGCACUAAUGCACCGGAUCCCAUCAGAACUCCGAAGUUAAAGUUAAACGUGCUUGGGCGAGAGUAGUACUAAGAUGGGUGACCUCUUGGGAAGUCCUCGUGUUGCACCCC